UUGGCGGGCAGUGGUGGCGCACGCCUUUAAUCCCAGCACUUGGGAGGCAGAGGCAGGCGGAUCUCUGUGAGUUCGAGGCCAGCCUGGUCUACAGAGUGAGUUCCAGGAAAGGCACAAGGCUAUACAGAGAAA